rnacentral:tRNA from 1 species
AGUAAGUUAGUCUAACUUAGACAGUUGAUUUCGACUCAACAGACCAUAACUCAACCCUAUGACCUUCUU